ACCUACGGGAGGCAGCAGUGGGGGAUAUUGCACAAUGGGGGGAACCCUGAUGCAGCGACGCCGCGUGGGUGAAGGAGCGUUUCGGCGCGUAAAGCCCUAUCGGCAGGGAAGAAGAUGACGGUACCUGACCAAGAAGCCCCGGCUAACUACGUGCCAGCAGCCGCGGUAAUACGUAGGGGGCAAGCGUUAUCCGGAUUUACUGGGUGUAAAGGGAGCGUAGGCGGCCUGGCAAGCCUGAUGUGAAAUACCGGGGCCCAACCCCGGGGCUGCAUUGG
rnacentral:rRNA from 1 species